AGAGUUUGAUCAUGGCUCAGGAUGAACGGCUGGCGGCAUGCCUAACACAUGCAAGUCGAACGAAGCCUUCGGGCUUAGUGGCGCACGGGUGCGUAACGCGUGGGAAUCUGCCCUUGGGUUCGGAAUAACAGUUAGAAAUGACUGCUAAUACCGAAUGAUGUCUUCGGACCAAAGAUUUAUCGCCUUUAGAUGGGCCCGCGUUGGAUUAGCUAGUUGGUGGGGUAAAGGCCUACCAAGGCGACGAUCCAUAGCUGGUCUGAGAGGAUGAUCAGCCACACUGGGACUGAGACACGGCCCAGACUCCUACGGGAGGCAGCAGUGGGGAAUAUUGGACAAUGGGCGAAAGCCUGAUCCAGCAAUGCCGCGUGAGUGAUGAAGGCCUUAGGGUUGUAAAGCUCUUUUACCCGAGAUGAUAAUGACAGUAUCGGGAGAAUAAGCUCCGGCUAACUCCGUG
rnacentral:rRNA from 1 species